UAUGGCCAUAUCACUUUGAAACACUAGUUGCUGCAUGAACACUUAAGUUAAGCAAUGUCAAGCCUGGUCGUACUUAGAUGGGUGUCCGUUUGGGAAUACCAGGUGCUGUAA